GUCCAGCUGGCUCAGUAGGAAGAGCGUGCAACUCUUGAUCCCGGGGUCGUGAGUUUGAGUCCCACAUUGGAUG
rnacentral:tRNA from 1 species